CCUCAGUGCACACCAUUUAUCAUAUGGGCAGAGCUCCGGUGUUCCGUGACCUCGGCGAUCUCCGACGGAAUCUAUUGUUAAAUUGGCUAGGGAAUGAAUAUAACGCUAAAAAUUAAGUAAGAUUAGUGUAUUUCGAUAUCAAUGUGUCAGUGAACUAGUUUUUCUAGCUCUGAUAUGGUUUAUCGUGAUCCUCCUAGCCCACAAUACCUGAUAUCUUCCCUAAGUGAGAGGUCAUGCUAAUUAGAUUGAA
rnacentral:lncRNA from 1 species